GGCAUAUCCUGUCAGGAUUUUUUUCACGUUCCGUCGACGUCCUCGUCGCCACAACCGCCCUGCCUUCACCAGCCUGUUGCAAGUUACCGGCGCACUGAUGAUGUUACUGCUUAUUGGCAUUACAUAACAGACAAACUCGAGGGUGAACGACACGUCCAAGCAGAAGACCGUGAAUCGACAGCGAGUCAUUGAAAUAUCGACAUAUUUUUAUAACGUCGUCGCUGCGACCAUCGCACUGGGAUUUAGUCCUGUUUGUUUGUUACUGCGCGUUACACGUACGCAACCGGCAGGCGCACUUGAGCCUAUCAUAUAUUUAAUUAUAUAUAUGCUUCUGAUUAUAAACCUGAAAUGAUA